AUACGGAGGGUGCAAGCGUUAAUCGGAAUUACUGGGCGUAAAGCGUACGUAGGCGGUUCGUUAAGUUAGAUGUGAGAGCCCCGGGCUUAACCUGGGAACUGCAUUUAAAACUGGCGGACUAGAGUUGAGUAGAGGGGAGUGGAAUUUCAGGUGUAGCGGUGAAAUGCGUAGAGAUCUGAAGGAACACCAGUGGCGAAGGCGACUCCCUGGACUCGAACUGACGCUGAGGUACGAAAGCGUGGGUAGCAAACGGGAUUAGAUACCCGGGUAGUCC
rnacentral:rRNA from 1 species